UACAGAGGUCUCAAGCGUUGUUCGGAUUCAUUGGGCGUAAAGGGUGCGUAGGCGGCGCGGUAAGUCGGGUGUGAAAUCUCGGAGCUUAACUCCGAAACUGCAUUCGAUACUGCCGUGCUUGAGGACUGGAGAGGAGACUGGAAUUUACGGUGUAGCGGUGAAAUGCGUAGAUAUCGUAAGGAAGACCAGUGGCGAAGGCGGGGUCUCUGGACAGUUCCUGACGCU
rnacentral:rRNA from 1 species